AUGCCGGGCCAUUGCCUCCUCCUCCUCCCUCCCCAUUGGUGGAGGACGGCGCCGCUGCCACAGAGAGCGAGCCAUCCCGCGGCCAGAGAGGACGCGCCGGGAGGACCGCCCGCCUCGUCUCGCCUCCUCCCGCGUUGUCAUGGCGCCCGCGGGAUGCCGGAAGCGCCGGCCGCGGCUGCCCAGGCCAACGGCCGCCUCGGGCCCCGCCGCCAUCUUCCACCCUUCAUCGCCUCCAGCUGCCCUUCGGCUACAGCCCCCCAAGAACCUGCCUCUCAGCUGAUAGCUUCUCUUUUUCCUAGGAUGGGUGUACCUGAAACACCUAAACCCAGCAGCAGAGACAACCCUUGUCUCACUGCGUCCAUGACCAGAGGACACCAACUGCGGGGCCCGGGACACGAUCCCGUCACCCAGCGCCAUCUGCAGAGCCUGGGACACAAUCCCAUCACCCAGCACCAUCCGCAGAGCCCGGGACACGAUCCCGUCACCCAGCGCCAUCUGCAGAGCCUGGGACACGAUCCCAUCACCCAGCACCAACCACAGAGCCCUGGACACAGCACCGCUGAAAAAUUGCUUGAGCUACUGAGCAGGCCUGACUGUUGUUGUAGCCGGUGGACAAUUUCACUUCUCUUCCAUCACAUAAACAAUUCAGCAUGCCUAAGGGCAGCCUGCUAUGAGUUCCCAGGAACUUUUAGAUGACAGAGAAAGGAGGAUGCUUAAUCCGCCAGGCAGAGAUGUACCUGUGAAAUUCCCAGGAGGAAACAUUUGAGCAAAGUCUUGAAGCUGCAGACUGAGAUGGGAACCGACUAAGGCACAGAUCAAGUAAACUGGUGGAUGAGGGCGCUAAGAGGGUCGGCUGAGGAACAGACUAAAUCACCCAUAGUAUACAGGUUAACCUAGAUGCAUUGACCUGUUAAAAUUUUUUUAUACACCUGUUUUAUGAGGAAUAUAUAUUCAUAAUGUCUGUCACUAUACUCAUACAGAGAACCUGUUUGCAGCUCAAAGCAGUGAAAUGGCAUCCAGCAUAUGAACGGCAAAUUGUUCCUUCUUUAGAAAAUAGCGAAGAGUUUCUGGCUACAUGUUAUCAUUAUGGUUUUAAUGCAUUCUCUGUCUCAUGUUUUCUUACGUAUAGUAAUAGUUGAUCGAAUAAAUAAUUGAGUUUUGAAAGAGUUGAGCA
rnacentral:lncRNA from 1 species